GUGUUGUAUGAAAGGAGAGAAGGUCAGCACUCCCCUUAAGAAGGAUGGAAGAGGUCCUAGUGGCAUUUACAACACAUGUAAGGUUAAAGACGUUGCCACCUACUUCAUGGCACCUAGCGCAGUGUUUUG
rnacentral:ncRNA from 1 species